UUUUUUUUAUACCCAAGAUUUCUUUGGGUGUUUAUGUGUGACUUCCAUUUCAGAAAUGGGGUGUUCAAAUGGUGGCACAAAAAUCCAAUAUUUGAUUUCUAUAGGAAAACAACUCAAACAACUAAUGUCCAGUCUGACCUUCUUGUCCACUUUCUCCUUUUGAACUGAUUCUAGCCAUACUCCUCCCCAAGUUUGGUUUGGGUGUGUAACUUUUUAUUUUUACAGUCAUAGUCAGCUGUCAACAAUAAGUGAGUGCAAAUCAGAAUGUAAUUUUUCAGACUGCUGGGCAAUACUAUUGGUUUAAUCUUCUUUUAGUGGUUUGUCAAAGCAUGAUAACUUCAUAGAAAGGUUUGAAAUGGCUUUUUGGACAUCAGCUUUCUAAUUACAAGAUUUUUAGGUAAGGGAAUGUAUUUAGUGACAAACUCACUGAUACCUUUAGCCAUGUUACAAUACUGUACAUGAACAUUAUCUGGAAUGACAAGACAUCAGCUGGGGUAUUUGUACAACAUUUGGCUUCUUGUACUUUGUGCAUUUAAAACCCUCCAAUCCCUGCCCAUGAUGCAAGAUGCAAAAUAAUUUGAAAGAUUUUUAUUCAAAAUGCUGGUGCUUCUUUUGGUCUGAAUGACUUUCUUCUUGCCUUUAAGGAAGUCGUUUUAGACACCCAAGUGAGUUCAGCUUUCACUUAAUAUUCCACCAAGCUUUAAUCACUGUAACAGAUGCGAACACAAGUCCCAGGUUCAAAUAAAUUAUUUAUUAUUAAUAAUACCUUCACAUUGCCCCAGUGUGAGAACAGAGAUAACAUAUCCCUAUUGGAUGUGUUGUUUUAUAUAUACAGGUAUAUAAUUUUUUUUGUGGACUAACACAGUCAGUGUUUAGGUUUAAUGCAAGGUUUUACUGUGUUUCCUGUCAACCUUCAGACCUAUUUUAGCUUUUCUUUUCAGACUUUGGCAUGUUUUUCAUAGCUCAUUGAGGGUCUCACUGCCACCAUAUAGUUUCCUUUGAAAACAAUGAGUCAGUCAACAGUUGUUGAGAUCCAAAUGCAAUUUUGUUUGGAACUUAAUGGAAGCUUGGCGUGAGGGUCCAACCUGUGCUAUUUAGCCCUCUGUGGUUCUGACACCAAACAUGUUAUCUUGUUUAUAUGCCCAUGCCACUGCAGAAAAAUACUUGCUAGGCAUUUGACAGAUUAUCCUCAACUGGUAGCCAUCUCUGGGUGCCAGACAACACUGAGUACUCCUGCAGAGGCUUUGUAGUACAGUAAUAGCUAAUAAAUAAUAUUAUACUGUAUUUUUCCCUCUCCCUUGAUAUCAGUGACUAUUCCAUGUAUUUCAUAACUGCCGUAUUCUAAGCAAGUAUCAAAGAAUGCUCAUGUUUUCAAACAUCAAUUUACCUGUUUCCUCUGAAGCACUGUACAAGGAAUGUUUAGACUUUAAGACCAUUUAGGAUUCCCUUCUGAAAAGAAUCAGAAAACUACCAGUCUGCACACUGUAGACUAGGACCUGUCUGGCUAACAGGUUUAAAUUUUUACUUAUCAUACCUGGUAAAUAAUGCCUGCUGAAAGUGAACAAGUGGCAUAUGUUAUGGAGGCCACUUCUACGUCAAUAUUGAAAACUCUGAGGCAAAGUGGCUAGUUUUUAUUGAAGAGAUGCACAAGCUCUACAUUGUUUGAAAGCCAUUCUACAAACUCUGUACAGCUCUACAUUGUUUGAAAGCCAUUCUACAAACUCUGUAUGGGUAGUUUCAGAUAUUGAAAAUAUUCCUCCCCCAGUGACCUCUCCUCCCAGACACUGCCUGCUAGUCCCUGACCAAAACAAUGAGACAGUCGCAUUAGGAUAAUGGUAUUAAAUUCCAAAUAGAUUUCAGCUCAGGACUUGGCUCAUCCAUACUGGGCCUUCUCAGCUGUUAAAAUGCUGAAGCAUAUGGUGUAUUAUUAUCUAACACUUCCCACCCCCACAUCAUUAACCCCUUCUGCCAUGCAACUGCCCAAUGAAAAUGGCUUAAUACUUACACAAAGUGGGACUCUGGUAUUAAUGUUUUAAUUCAACCAAAGGAACCUAAAGGUCAAGCUUUUACAUUGUGUUCUUUUAAUUUUUACGAGACAGAGUAACAGCACUGCCAGGCACCAGAGUGACACCACAGUGAUUACUAGCCAAUAUCCUUCUGGGGCAAGCAUAAGCAAAUUUUGAUGUAUUAGUAAAUUAGCAGUCAUAGCAGUGAGUGCUUCCACUCCUGAUGGCCAUCAGGUUUCUUCUAUCUUCUGAUCCAUAAUGAGGGAGGGCCCAGUAUUAACUUUUUUGUAAGAUGAGGGCCCUGAUCCAGUGUGUCUUGAUUUACAGCAUGGCUCUCAUAUUUACACUGCUGCAAUAUUUACUUUGUGCUAGAUUCCAAGUACACCAAACCAACCUUGCAUCUUACAAUGUCCUCUAAUGGCAAAUGUUUUAGAAUAAUUUCCUUUACUUGCCCUUCCUCAAAGAAUACUUUCAAGAGUUUCAGCUAGACUUAAAAUAAUACAAGCCUGCUAGAUAACCACACCACAGUGCAGCAUCCCAGGCCCUUAAUCAAAGAUGGGAGAUGCAAGGUUUUGUGGGCUUAGCUGGGAGUUGAGAUGUGGCAGCUCUCUUGACUUCAGCUCCUUAUUGUUCUAGAGUGUUUUGAGAGUAUUUUUAAAGUGCAUCCUCUUGUUUUAGUACAACUAGAAGGUGUGCCUUGUUGCCUGCCAAUUAUAAAAUAUUAGGCAUGCCUACUUUUGAUAAAACAUUGCCCACUUGAGUUGAAAAGGUGCAUUUUCUGCCUUGCUGAUUUUCUCCUUAUAUUUUUUUUACUUACCCAAUAGCCCCAACCCCACAAUGCUCUUUUGCAUAUUGCACAAAAACACAGAGGAAUCAAGCCUUAUACUUAUUUAUCUCGAUUCUGUUUCCAGGAGUGUUACUAAUCAGUUUUGGGCUCUUGGACUUUAUCUACAAGGAACGUUAUUAACAUUUCCAAGGUAGAGAAGGCUAGGUUUGAGCAAAAGUUAGCAAUGUUUAACUAAUUGUGACAUCUUGCAUUUACCCAAAGGGCGGUCAUCAUAGACAUUCACAUUUGUCAGCAUGAAACAACAACUUACACUGGGAUGUCAUUAGGAAUGGGUAACUUGGUCUUGUCAACUUAAUCUUCCUGAGCAAAUAAACACACAUACUCUCUCUCUCACACACACACACACAAGGGCUUACAAAAAUAGAUAACCUCCAUUUGAAAAGCUCGUGGUAAAGCAAAAACAAAUUCAGCUCUGUGAAAAGCAGCCAGCAGAAUUCUAAAGGCUCUUGUUUUUUGUAUCGGAGAGAGAAAAAAGGGCAUACGAAAAAGGGGAAGAUAAAAAAGGCAUCUGCUAUCCCUGCGGAAACAGGAACCACACAGUGCCUCCCCAUUAACAAGAGAAGCUGUCCCUCUUGAAGCAGGCUGUCCCUAUAGGCUCAGUGGUGUUUGGCAGAGGGGACAUGAAGAAAUUUGAAAGGUGAUCUUAACAGAAAACAAAGCUGCAUCUCAACAGCAACUCCAUCCCCCAGAAAAUGUCUCCUUAAUCACAAAAUAAAUCUUUUUGAUGUUACACGAAGAAAGCCUGUGACUUGGGCCGCACAAAACAAACAGUAAUUAACAGCCCAGCCGAGCUCCUGCUCAUAAUUAAUGUGGGGAGAAAUAUUCAGUCGCAGUGGCUGAGCGGCGUGCCGAGUACACACGCUAAUUAGAAUGCAUUCUUCACUGUGACUCUGAUACUAAGCUGUCAGGACUAGAAAGCAGCAAGAAAACACCCAAAUUUGCCAAAAACAGCCACAUAAAGCACCAGACCUUAUCCAGACCACCACAUGUACUUUAUUGUUGUCUGAUGUGCUAACCAUGCACUCAGAAAGUUAAUUUUGUAUUCCAUUGACUCCCUUUGGCACAACGUAGCAAUAGUUUUUAUUUAUUUCAGGUAAAGUCUCUCUUGUCUUGGAUAUCUGGCUUGCCCAUUUUAUUCAUGGAUUUCUGGAUGGGUCAAACGCUUUCUUUUAUUAAAGCAAGUUGUAUGUAGUCCCCAAUAUUCAUGACUAACUAAAGUCACUCUUGGGAGAUGAAAGAUUGCUGUUCAGUUAAUUAUUACUUGUUGUAACUUCUGAAGAGCAGAUCCUGUUAUUCAUAAAAGCCCACAUUUGCCUUAAGUAGCCUCCACAAAGGUCAGAUGUCCUCACACUGAAGUAGGGAUUUGAAAAGAGCAGAGUUAACUUUCUUUUUAUUUCAAUUAAAAAUAACUUUGCACUGACAAUAUUGUCAUAAACUUCCAUAUGGUGUUCUAGUACUGGAUUUUUGAAUUCACAAGAUUCUCAUCCUUGUCUGUUUUUAUUAACUUCUAAGUGGAGCGGGGAGACACCCACUAUUUUAAAUCAUUUGGUUAAAAAAACAAUGGUUAAAAGAGACACAUCCCUGCAGGUAUGUUACCAAACUCCCUCCACCCCACCAAGGACCACCAAAGGCCAAAUAAAACAGGGUGUGUGACUGCAGAGGCCACCGCCUUCUUAAUUAAUUUAUUUCAAAAUAUCUUGUGUCUGAGCUUUAAAGGCCAUUGCUAGAAAAACCCCUGGUAAUCCUUUCACCUCUGAGUCACAGUGAUGGCUUUCACAGGUGUGCAGUCCCAUUCCCAGUGCCCUGGAUGAUUCCUCUGACUGUUACCAUUAAAUUCGUCAGUCAUUUCACUAAGCAAGCAGUAUGGCAAAUGUUGUAUCAUGAUGGAACAGUCUGGCAUUUUUAGGAUUUGGUUUUGGCAUUGUCUACUAGUAAAUAAUGUCUCAGGAGAGAAAAAAGUAAAAUAGAUCUCUUACAUAUAACAUCAUUAUGGCCAUUCAGCUGGGCAUCCAUUUGAACCCAAAGGGCCAGAACACCAGUGCCACCUGGCCAUGGACUUGUUUAUUGUGGACACUUUAGGGCUUGUCCAGACUUCUGAAGCAUUCUUUCCAUGAAAUGAACUUGGAACCAUCAGUCUAACCUUCAGUUCUUGUUCUGGACGCACAGAGCCCGUGUCCUGCAGUUUCAUUAUUACUCAAACUCCCCAUCCCCCUAGUACCCCCCCUUCCCAGCCCCCACCUUUGCCUGAGCUUGAAUGAAUCACUAUUGCAUUCCCAGAGCAAAAAAGCAAAUUACACUAAUUGCAUGCAUGUUUGUGUAAAGCUUUUAAGGGCCAUUGUUUGAAAUGAAAUUACAUAUUAUAGCAGGCUUUUAUCUUUUUAGUGCAUUUUUAAUUUUUUUUUUCUUUUUUGUUCCACUGCAGAGUAAUUACAAUAUGAUCACUGAAGCGUAUUAAAAGGCUUUUUUAUAAUGGGUAAAAAUGUAAAAGCAAAAUGAUUCUAUUCUAAUGAAUAUUUGCAAUGGAAAGAAGUGUGCUGGAUGAGAGGGGGCUGCAUCAUUCUAACACUGUAAUCUCCUGCAGGUUGCACACCAAAGUCAGUCUAGGGGGCUGGGGCUCCCUGUGGAAUAAUUGCCAGGGCUGGGGGUGGGUGGAUGUAAUAGGCAAAGGCAAACUCUGAAAAAUGCAUCGGUCCCCAUCUUGCCAUAUCGUCUUUCUGUCUGAAAGAUUUGUAUGAUUCCUCAGGACAAGUGUGUGAAAAAAGAUCUGAUUUUCAUUGCUGUCUCAAUCUCAAAAAUAAAUAAAUAAAAAACAAAAAACAAAACAGCUCCAUGUAAUGAAGCAAACUGACAAAUCUGUAAUUUCUUUAGCCUUGGGAUUCUCCACUCUUGAAUGUGCCUACAAGCUCCCCGUGUUUGCUUAAUUUAACUUGCCUGCCCUAAUUCCAAAUCUGCUCAUCUGCCCUCAAUAUUUAUCAUUCUUAAUAAUAUUGUUAUUGUAAUUUUUCAACAAAAAGAAAAACAGCUCCCUGCUUUUUUGUCAAUCUCAGGACUGAAAUCUCUUUAUUUUAAUGUAGAUGUUUAAUUUAUUCUCUCCUCUGUUAUUUUAUUAUUAUUAUUAUUAUUAUUGUUUGACUUGAAGCAAAUAAAACAAAUAACUUCUACAUUCCAGUCUCGAGUUGUCUUCCCGUUACUUUAUUGUUGGUAUUUUCUGCUUUCAUUUCUUGUUUCCUUGUAUGUAGACCGGUGUCAGAUGCUGGAUUUUAUUUGGGUGGAUUAUCUCAGACAAGAAAUAGACAAUGUGUCCAGAGUUGAGAGUCAUGCAUGUCAAGCAACAAACUCAAACCCAAAUAAGGUCAGACUCAGUGACAGAGUGCUGCAGCACAACUUAGUGUCUGCUCAAAUUCAAAGCACCUCUCCAUCACAGAAAAGCAUCGUGGGAAACGCAUGGGUUUCCUAAUAAAAUAGGAUGAUCACACAUCCGGGCUGGGACUGUCAUACCAUCUUAUGAAAUGUCUUUGUUAACCAUCCAUAUAGGUUGAGUCUGUCACAGAAAGUCCAAAGCACUAUACAGUAAUAGUACCCAAACCAGUGGAUGGUGCUGCCUGCCAGAAUGUGACAAUGCAGUGGUCCAAUGACAACCUACUAGUAAACACUCAUCCUGUGAAAGUGUCACAUUUAGUGUCUGCCUUUUCUUCAUAAGGUAUUCAAUUUUAUUACUAGGAAUUUCUGGGGGUGACUGAUUACACAAUUCUCUCAGGACUUUUCAUCACAGUCCCAAAUGUCACAUUGCACCAAAAUGUUGCCUCAUUUUGGCAGCCAAUCAAUGUGGAACACUUUGGAAUCUAUCUCAGCCUGUCUUUUUCCUUUUUUGACUCUGUUUCUGGUACAACAACAAUCAAGAAGAAAUCUUUUGCAGCUUUAAAUUUCCAUAAACCUCUUCUUCACUUCUUUUACCUUCUUUGUCUUUGUCAGGUGGUGAUGCUCAUCAACGUUUGUCACCAUGGCACAAGUGGGAUGCCAGCCAUGUCACAUGUGACCUCAUGAAUUCUGUAAUGAAGUUCGAUUUUUGAUAAAUUAAGCAGUAGCAGUGCCCAGUUUCCACCUCUUUAGCCACACUCACUUUUCUGUGGUAGUUAUAUUAAAUUUAAAUUAUCUGUACAGUGGAAACCUUUCUUUCAGGUAGUCUUUUGUGUGUUGUUGUUUUCCUUUCCUAAUAAUCAGUGGGCUGUCAUAGAUGUGUUGUUAUAGUGCUAACCAUUUUUCUAAUCUUUAGCUUGAGACAAUAAAGUUUUGAAUGUUG